rnacentral:rRNA from 1 species
UGAAAUCUCAUGGCUUAACCCUGGAGUCGCCUCAUGGACUCCUGGUCUUGAGUUCGAGAGAGGUGAGUGGAAUUCCAAGUGUAGAGGUGAAAUUCGUAGAUAUUUGGAGGAACACCAGUGGCGAAGGCGGCUCACUGGCUCGAUACUGACGCUGAGGUACGAAAGUGUGGGGAGCAAACAGGAUUAGAUACCCUGGUAGUCCACACCGUAAACGAUGAAUGCCAGACGUCGGGUAGCAUGCUAUUCGGUGUCACACCUAACGGAUUAAGCAUUCCGCCUGGGGAGUACGGUCGCAAGAUUAAAACUCAAAGGAAUUGACGGGGGCCCGCACAAGCAGUGGAGCAUGUGGUUUAAUUCGAAGCAACGCGCAGAACCUUACCAACCCUUGACAUGCCUGGACAAUCCGAGAGAUCGGACUUUCCUUCGGGACCAGUGCACAGGUGCUGCAUGACUGUCAUCAGCUCGUGUCGUGAGAUGUUCGGUUAAGUCCGGCAACGAGCGCAACCCACAUUCUUAGUUUCCAGCAGGUUAAGCUGGGCACUCUCAAGAGACUGCCGGUGAUAAGCACGACGAAGGUGUGGAUGACGUCAAGUCCUCAU